CUGUGACAUCAAAUAGAGGAAAACAGACAACGGUCUUGCUGCUUAGCUGCUAUGUGAAGGAAGGAAAGAGAAGCUAAGCUGCUCUGUGAUAGCUCGAGAUAGAAUGAAAGGAGCUGGAGUUUACGCAACCGUUUGAUAUGUGAAUAUGUCUCUUGUCUUUCGUCUUUCUUAGAGUAGUACCCAAUUCGAUUUAUUUCAAGGCUUAUCUUUCAUGUAUAUUCUUUGGUGGGCUACCAUUCUUCUUGUCGCUUCGGUUGCUGUUGGUAUUGUUGUUCUUCUUCGGUAUGUCAUAAUGUUGUUGGUGUUCUUGUUGUUGUUCUGUUGUCAGCGGCGUCGUCAUUGUAUCUAAACGUUCAUUAAUCUUUUGAAGCGUUUUCCCUGUUGCGCUUGUAUGUAUGGGUGUCCUGUUCCCUCUCUCUCGCUCUCCCUGUGUGUGUAAGUGUGUAUCUCUGUGUAUUGGCUUCUGCUUAUGGCUUGCCUGUCGCCAGCCCCAACCACCUCUUUAAGGGAGAACAAUGUUUGCCUGUUGUGCCGAUUGUUUCCUUGUUACCCACUAGCCCCCUAGAUCUGCCUCUGAGUCCUUGUAGACGUCCUUGUUUGGGACACACAGGACACUUGUGCGACAGUUGUUGCAUGAUAAGGUUUAAUCUAUUUAAUUGUAAUUGAUAUUUUCGCAAGAUACGACAACUCCUAGCUGCUUCCUGCUUCCUGCCUCCUGUUUCUGUCUGUGCCUCAUUACUCCUGCCCCUGCCUAUGCUUUGCUUCCUUUAUUUUUUUUUUCCCUUCUUCUUAUUUGUUGUUGUUAUUUUUAAUAUUUUCCCGGUUCCUUCGCCCAUUAUAACCUGAAUGAGGCAACAAUAACAGUGACGGAUCUUUGACUCCUGCCUCUGGGAACUUGUUGGCAACACUUGAGGCUCUCGCUCUCUCCAGUCUCACAUCUUUCGUUGUCCUACUCUAUUUGCUACCCAGCGACAAAAUCAUAAUUUAUAAAGUGUGCCAGUAGCGAAGCAAUUUUCCCUAUCAUCCGAGAGAAGGAGUGGGGCUCCGGUUAAAGAAUUUUGUGACACUUCACAAAAGCGCCACUCAACCCAUAAUAUAGGAUCCGCAGGAAGAUGCAAAUGCAAAUGACAGUAGAAAGGGAACAAUUAAACACAGUGUGAAACUAUCCAAAAAUGACUGGAAAUAAA
rnacentral:lncRNA from 1 species